UAGUGGCAGACGGGUGAGUAAUGUAUAGGAAUCUACCUAGUAGUACGGAAUAAUUGUUGGAAACGGCAACUAAUACCGUAUACGCCCUACGGGGGAAAAAUUUAUUGCUAUUAGAUGAGCCUAUAUUAGAUUAGCUAGUUGGUGGAGUAAUAGCCUACCAAGGCAAUGAUCUAUAGCUGAUCUGAGAGGAUGAUCAGCCACACUGGAACUGAGAUACGGUCCAGACUCCUACGGGAGGCAGCAGUGGGGAAUAUUGGACAAUGGGCGAAAGCCUGAUCCAGCCAUGCCGCAUGAGUGAAGAAGGCCUUUGGGUUGUAAAGCUCUUUUAGUGAGGAAGAUAAUGACGGUACUCACAGAAGAAGUCCUGGCUAACUCCGUGCCAGCAGCCGCGGUAAUACGGAGAGGGCUAGCGUUAUUCGGAAUUAUUGGGCGUAAAGGGCGCGUAGGCGGAUUAGUAAGUUAAAAGUGAAAUCCCAAGGCUCAACCUUGGAAUUGCUUUUAAAACUGCUAAUCUAGAGAUUGAAAGAGGAUAGAGGAAUUCCUAGUGUAGAGGUGAAAUUCGUAAAUAUUAGGAGGAACACCAGUGGCGAAGGCGUCUAUCUGGUUCAAAUCUGACGCUGAGGCGCGAAGGCGUGGGGAGCAAACAGGAUUAGAUACCCUGGUAGUCCACGCUGUAAACGAUGAAUGUUAAAUGUGGGAAGUUUUACUUUCUGUAUUACAGCUAACGCGUUAAACAUUCCGCCUGGGGACUACGGUCGCAAGAUUAAAACUCAAAGGAAUUGACGGGGACCCGCACAAGCGGUGGAGCAUGUGGUUUAAUUCGAUGCAACGCGAAAAACCUUACCACUUCUUG
rnacentral:rRNA from 2 species